rnacentral:rRNA from 1 species
UCCCUAGUACGGCGAGUGAACCGGGAAGAGCUCAAAUUUGUAAUCUGGCCCUUGGGUCCGAGUUGUAAUCUAUAGAGGCGUUUUCCGUGCCGGACCGUGUCCAAGUCCCUUGGAACAGGGUAUCAAAGAGGGUGACAAUCCCGUACUUGACACGACGACCGGUGCUCUGUGAUACGUCUUCGACGAGUCGAGUUGUUUGGGAAUGCAGCUCAAAAUGGGUGGUAAAUUCCAUCUAAAGCUAAAUAUUGGCGAGAGACCGAUAGCGAACAAGUACCGUGAGGGAAAGAUGAAAAGCACUUUGGAAAGAGAGUUAAACAGUACGUGAAAUUGUUAAAAGGGAAACGAUUGAAGUCAGUCGUGUCGGUUGGAUUCAGCUCGGUCUCCGGGUGUAUUUCCUUCCGACGGGUCAACAUCAGUUUGGAUCGGUGGAUAAAGAUGGAGGGAAGGUGGCAUCCUCGGAUGUGUUAUAGCCCUCUGUUGCAUACGCUGGUCCGGACUGAGGCAUGCAGCUCGCCUUUAUGGCCGGGGUUCGCCCACGUCGAGCUUA